rnacentral:misc_RNA from 6 species
GGUGUCCACACAGAUUGUCUGAUGAUAAGAAAGAGUCAAAAGCGUCUUGCGAAGCUGACAAGUGAUGUCCCCUUCGUCUAGAGGCCCAGGACACCGCCCUUUCACGGCGGUAACAGGGGUUCGAAUCCCCUAGGGGACGCCAAUGACUGACAGUGGGUGAAAGGCACGGUCAACGCUAACCUAAAACUGAUUAGAGAUAGUCAGGUUUAUGUUAUCUGCUCUUUAACAAUCCGGAACAAGCUGAAUAAUUUGAAACGACAGCAUGUGAGUGUAAAUUCAUGUGUUGUUGGAGUCUCUCAAAAUACUCAUAUCCCGAGACACUUUCGGGUUGUGAGGUUAAGCGACUAAGCGUACACGGUGGAUGCCUAGGCAGUCAGAGGCGAUGAAGGGCGUGCUAAUCUGCGAAAAGCGUCGGCA